AUGCUCCUAUAUAUAUACAUUGCCAUCGAUGCAGGCUUCCACAACCCAACCGGAGCAAAGCAAACACCACAUCCACCUCACUCAGCUCAGCUCACCUCAUCUCGAAGAAGAAAAGGAAGCAAAACAAAAUCGUGUCAUGUUUCUAGGAAAGUAUCACGGUCAGAAGAAGGUGAGGUCAUUGACGGGACCGCCCACAACCCCAAGAACACCAACACCGGUGAGUACCUCAAGACCGCCAUCAACAACAGUGGCUCCGCUGGUGGCCUCAACAACGUCACCAAGGGUGACUACACCUGUGGCCUCAAGAUCUUCAGCAAGGGUGGCUUCCUUCACCGCAUUAAGAACGUCAGCAAUGGCAGCUCAGCCCGCGGGCUCAAGAAUACCAGCAACAUCCGUUCAACCCGCCACCUCAAGAACGACAACAACAGCAAAUCCACACGUGACCACAAGAACGUCAACAACAGCAAAUCGGUACGUGACCUCAAUGACAACAGCAUCAAAUACACAUGCGACCUCAAGAACGCCAACAACGGCAAAUAUAUAUGCGACCUCAAGAACAUCAGCAGCAUCAGCGACGGUGGCUCCUUCUGCGACCUCAAGAAUGUCAACAAGAGCAACUCGGUCCGCGACCACACGAACGUCAACGGGAGCAACGGUGGCGUCAAACCGGUCGACGACACUGCAGCCAGGUGCGUCGACCUCAAGAACGGCUAG
rnacentral:rRNA from 1 species